GGUCUCCAAGUUCGUUAACAACGUGGUGGUUGGUUGUAUUAGUGCUCUUUGUAUGGAUGCACUUAAUGGGUGCUUAGAUUGCGUCCAACUAAUACUGGAUAUCAUGCAAGCACUAGGCAUAAUCGCAUUACAGGUGGUGGUCUACGACGGCGGAGCUGGUGAUCCGUGGCGGAGGUGGUAAUCUUAAUUUUACUCUUGAGUGAGAAUAUUAUCAGCUUGGGAUGGAAAUAUAUACACCAUCACAACAAUUUUUAGAAAACAUUUGUAGCCCAGAAAGUGUAGGAAAAGGAAAAUUAAAACGCUCAAGAGGAAAUUUAUGAUGAAACCGAUUUCAGUUUCAUCUAAAUUUAGUGAAACCGAUUUCAGUUUCAUGUAACUUUUCCUUAAUUUUUUUGAAAUCUUUCGGUGAAACAAACGUUGUUGGUGAUAAAUAGUAUUCUAUUGAAACAAGCAUUUAUUUUAUCUGCGUUUGAUCAAUAUUUUUUGAGGUUUUAUUGAAGAAACUAAACCUUUCUAAGUGAUUUCUUUUGUUGGAACAGUUUUGGUUUCAUCUGAUUUGUUUUUUAUUUUCUAUGAAACCAGUUUUGGUUCCAUCAAUAUUUCAUUAAUGAUACAGAGAUGGAUUGUUUUCUGAUGAAACCAAACAGUUUUUUGAUGAAACCAUUUUUGGUUUCAUCAAAAUUUUAGUUACGCAGGUGAUGGUAUUGCCAGUUGUAGUGCUACUUAGGGUGGUAAUGGCGGUGGUGUUGUUGACAUCGGUGGUGGUUGGCGUUGGUGGUGGCUAGUGGUGGUUGGAUUUGUUCGAAGCGGCGACGGUGGUGGUUUUAUAAAUAUUUGGUGGUGGUGGGUGGUGGAUGACGUUACCAUAAGUUGCUGGUUGGUGGUGGCGGUGGUAUGUGAGCUGGUCGACGGCAUUGGCGGUGGUCCACGAUAAUGGUGGUCGGCAUCAGCGAUGGUAGAGUCAAUUCCUAACUUAAGCAGAAGUAUGAGAAGAAGGUGUGGGAGGAGGAAACAGAGAAAAAAUGUGGGGAUACCUUAAUGCUUUGGAAUUGCCUUAUAAAAAGGAAGAAGAUUAUAGAGUCAAUUCCUACCUUCUGAUCAACUGCGUUUCUGGGUUUACCUUCGCUUCAAAAACUCUUGACUGAAGAAGACAAGAAGGUUUGACUCUAAUACGUGAACUGAAAUUUAUAAAUCUAUAUGAUUAUGUUUCAUGAUAUUCCCUUUGAUACAUGUGAUGAUUUCCCAUGAUUUAUAUAUGGAGGGAUUAGUUGUUGAAACCUGACAUUCUAAUCUGUGAAUGUUUGACACUAACAUUAUUAAUGAUGAAACCAAAAUCGGUUUCAUUUAAUUUUUGGUCGGUGGUGGUGGUGGACGGUCGUGGUGCUGGUGGCGGUGCGGCAGGUGGUGCUGGUUUUUGCCGGUAGUGGUCAACGGCAUUGGUGAUCGACGAUGGUCGAUAGUGGUGGUGUUGGCUGGUGGCGGUGGCGAUGGUGGCGGAUGGUGGUGGUGGUGCUGCUGGUGCGGUGGUGUUGGUGGCAGACGGUGGUGUUGGUGGUGGAAGAAGGCAGUGGAG